UACAGAGGUCUCGAGCGUUAGGCGGAAUCACUGGGCUUAAAGCGUGUGUAGGUGGAUCGUUAAGUACCUUGUGAAAUCCCACGGCUUAACCGUGGAACUGCUUGGUAUACUGGCGGUCUUGAGCCACUUAGGGGCUACCGGAACAAAUGGUGGAGCGGUGAAAUGCGUAGAUAUCAUUUGGAACGCCAUGGUGAAAACAGGUAGCUGGGAGUGUGCUGACACUGAGACACGAAAGCCAGGGGAGCAAACGGG
rnacentral:rRNA from 1 species